AUUAAAAUACUUUUAAAAUUAUUGUAUUUAAUGAAUACAGAAAUUUAAUUUUGUGAAGUAUGAUAUUAUAAUUAUGUAUUCUGUAUAAUUGUACUAACAUUUUUUUAUAGGUAUCACUACAGAAUCUAGACGACGGACUUUAGAUAAUUAUGUUGCUCAAAUGCCUGCCAAACUAAUAAAUGAAAGGUCUUUAACUGAAACGACUGAAACCAGUCAAAUUUCAGUUAAAAGAUUAAAACAAAUGACAUUGUUUUCAAGGUAAUUUAUUAACUACCUAAUUAAUAUAAUAUAUUAGAGCAUAAUUAAUAUUAUUAUAAAAACACCAAAUAUAAAUAGGUUUUUAGUGAAUUAAAUAAAUGAAGAUUAAAUACAAUUAUUUUUUUUACUAAUAGAUAUCAAGCGAUAACAGAAAGAGGCGUUGAUCAGUUCAAUAGGGCUAUAGUGGAAAUGAUUGCAGAAGACAUGCAGCCAUUUUCCAUUGUUGAGAACCGUGGUUUUCAGAAGUUAAUAAAACUUCUGGAUUCUCGCUACACACUGCCUAGCCGGAGAACGAUCGAAAGAACGCUCGUUCCAAAUAUCUAUGAAACUACAAGGGCCAAAGUUUUUGAAUUAGUGUCAAUUGCUAAACAUGUUGCAAUUACAUCUGAUGUAUGGACAUCAAUGAACACAGAGUCAUACUUAACAGCAACGGUUCAUUUCUUCGACGCAAACUUACAGUUGAGAACUUUUGUAUUGACUACUGAAAAAUUGACGUCCAAUCAUACAGCAAAACAUCUAUCUGACGUUUUACAUGGCAUUUUUCAUAGUUGGAAUAUUCAGUCAAAAGUGUGUGCAAUUGUUACCGAUUCUGGAGCAAAUAUUAAGGCAGCUAUACGUUUGAUGAAUAUUGAACACAUUCCAUGUACAGCCCACAAACUGAAUAUUAUUGUAAAAAAGUCCUUAAAAUUAGAUUCUGAUGACAAGUUACUGCCUGAUGAACAAGUAAAAAUUUUAACUUUGACAAAGCUGUGUCGCACAAUUGUUAGCCAUUUUAAACACAGUGAAGUUGACACAAGACAAUUGGCAGAGAAACAACAACAGAUGGGUGCUUCUGUUUUGAAAUUGAAACAAGAUGUUUCAACAAGAUGGAAUAGCACCUUAAUUAUGCUGGAGCGUCUUCUAGAGGUCAAAGAACCUCUAACUGUUGUUUCUUUAUCAAUUAAACGAUGUCCGACGAUGCCAACUAAUGAACAAUGGACAAUAAUAGAAGAUUUGGUAAUGCUGUUAAAACCAUUUGAAACAUUGACCGUGCAGCUUUCAUAUGAACAAAAACCAACUCUAGGGAAAGUAAUUCCAUUGAUCAGAGGUAAUUAGACAUUUUUUAUACAUUUCAGUUACCUAUUAUUUUGUAACAUUAUUAUUUCAUUCCAGGUCUUCAACUUUCAAUAAAUAAAAAAGUACCGAAAACAUUAAGUGGAACAUUUUUAAAGAAUUCUUUGCUUGAAAAUAUUUCUUUGGCAUACGGUGCAGUGGAAGAGAUGUUCCCGUCACAUUUUUAUGCCAAAGCAACUUUAUUGGAUCCACGUUACAAAAAAGCUGCAUUUGAAUCCAAUUCUAAUGUAGAAACAGCCCAGCAAGAGGUUCAAUAUGAAGUUGCUGAAUUAUUAAGAAACAGAAUGUUAGGCACAAAUAAUGAAUACAUGGAAGUUAUAUCUACAGGGCAACAAACCUCCAUCCAAUCUGUGUUUACUGUUUCAAGUGUUUCAACAAGCAGCACAGAAAACGAAAACCUGCUUGAUUACUUACAAGCCAAGGUUACAACAAUUAGGUCAGAAACAACUGAUACGAGUACUGCAGUAACACUUGUCAGGCAGUACAUGGAUCUGCCAUAUCUAAAUCUAAAAGAAGAUCCAAUGCAAUUCUGGAAAAAUCAUUUUUCUGUAUUAGAUCCAUUAUCAGAAUUGGCAUUAAAAUAUGCAUGUAUUCCUGCCACGUCUGUUCCCUCAGAGAGGAUUUUUUCCAAAGCCGGACAAAUUGUUAGUCAACGUAGGAACAGACUGUCACCAAAAAAUGUAAAUAUUUUAAUAUUUUUAAAUAAAAAUUUAGAAAUAUAAUUUAGUUUUAUGUUAACUUCUAACAUUUUAAAUUGUGAUCAUUAUUUAUUUAAUUU